rnacentral:rRNA from 1 species
UACGAAGGGGGCUAGCGUUGCUCGGAAUCACUGGGCGUAAAGGGUGCGUAGGCGGGUCUUUAAGUCAGGGGUGAAAUCCUGGAGCUCAACUCCAGAACUGCCUUUGAUACUGAAGAUCUUGAGUUCGGGAGAGGUGAGUGGAACUGCGAGUGUAGAGGUGAAAUUCGUAGAUAUUCGCAAGAACACCAGUAGCGAAGGCGGCACUCUGGGCCGGUACUGACGCUGAGGAGCGAAAGCGUGGGGAGCAAACAGG